AACGCACCUUGCGCUCCUUGGUAUUCCGAGGAGCACACCUGUUUGAGUGUCAUGAAAUUCUCAACCUUACAAACUUUUGUGUUUGAUUUGGCUUGGAGUUGGAGGCUUGCUGAUGGGAAAUUCCUUUGGCUCCUCUCAAAUGCAUUAGCUUGGUUCCUUGCGGAUUGGCUCCUGGUGUGAUAAAUGUUUACGCCGCAGCUGUUGAAGCGAUUUGGGCAAGCUCCUAACCGUCUCGAUAUUGAGAGACAGCUUUUUGAACAUGACAUCUGACCUCAAAUCAGGUGGGACUACCCGCUGAACUUAA
rnacentral:misc_RNA from 1 species